rnacentral:lncRNA from 1 species
GUGGUAAAUAGAGAUUUUGACAGUGACUUGGGCAAAUGGGAUGUGUAGGGACCAUUCUGAAGGCUCCUGUCCCUCCCAGAGAAAAGGGGGAAAAAAUCAAUUUGGGUUUUAAACAGAGCCACCAAGUAGCACCGAUCAGUGUUGAUAAUUAGCCUCACUAUCAUAAGCCAUGAAGUCCUGUUUUUAUUUAUUUAUUUGGGGGACAGAGAAUCUUCCUGCCUCUUGAGUAAGUGUGGCCUGUUAAGUCUGAAUUAGCUGUCAUCACAGAAGAAUUAAUGUCGGAGUGCAGACUUUCUAGUGGGGAAGGGAAGAACUAAACGAGACAGAUCUUAGCCAAGCCUUGAGUGAUAAAUGAGGACCAAGUGGACCAUUCAUCUCCUGCGAGGAGAGUGGACAGAGGCACUAAGGCAGUUUUGCGGAAGACGUGUCAGCAAAUGUGAUCAUUUUGUUACCUGUCAGGAGGAGAGAGAGCUCGUCCUUUUAGGGGGCCACGAGGGAGUGGGUUGGUCUGAUAAGACAGUUUCCAUUCAACCGUUUAGGUUUGGAGAAGAAGGGGAUGGGUGAGGAGGAAUCUGACUAAAACUACAACCUGAUGUCAUCCUUCCAGGAAAUAAACUCAUCUAGGAAGUAGAAAAUACCCUGCAAAGAUUUUUUUGUGUGUGAAGAUACAAAGUAGGGGUGUGGGGUCUCUGUUCCGUGGGGAGCCCAGCUUCAUCUCCCCAGCUCCUCCCCAUGGAAGACCCAUGUCCAGUGUUUGGUGACUGGAGUAGGGCAGCAGGCCUUUUGCUGCUUGGUAUUUGGAGGAGGGUUGGAUGGGGUUUGCCGUGGGGUUUUAAGCUGGACAGAUAGCUGGCUAGACUGCCAGCCAGCUCAUGUCUCUAUUUCCGUGCAGCUCUGUGAGAGCGAGCGUGGGCACGGCUGUUUGACCUAGGUUCCCUUUGAAACUCUCAACAAAGCAUUCUGAUGUUCGACCUCUUUUCUCCGAAUGAGGUAACAAAUUAUGAAACAACCUCAUCAGAAGCUCUCUGCAGGCAUCUGGGAGCGUGUGUCUCCACUCUGGUCCCCCUUCUAAGUUGCUGGUUCCCCAUCAGCGUGCAGCCCAGCCAGAACCCAGGGAGGUAGAAUCCCUGGAGGUAAAGGCCCAGCAACAGACGCACAACAGGCACCUUGAGUACAUUGUAUAUUUCUCAUUUCCAUCUUUUUUGCUAUGGAGCAAAUGUAACGUUUCCUCCUAGCGUAACGGAGCGUGAGCCACACUGACAGAUGAUGGUUUCACAGCCUAAGCUGCACAUUUGACACUUGUUUCUUAAUCCCAUCCUUUUCUUCCUUAGUCUCUGUUUUACUUUUCCCCAGGUAUUUUUGUGCAGGUAAGUACAUUGCUGACAUGUGUUUCCUUGGAGUAUUUUACUUUAACAGGAAACACUGCAAAAAAUGAGGCUUGUCUCGCCUUUUAAAUUAGAAAGAGAAGCUCGCAAGGGGCCCUUGAUCACUUAAAGAGGCUACAUGAUUUUCUGAGCCUCGAAAGCCAUUUGAUUCGCCUUAGCUUUGCAGUAAGCAUUUCUCGGAGGGCAGCGUGACAAUCAUGUGGAGCCUUUCGUUUCCUCGUGGAUCGUUUGUAGAACCAGAAAGCUGCGUGAUGUCUCUUUCGCGCGCGCACACACACACACACACACACACACACACACACGCUCCCCACCCCCACCUGCAAAGCUGCCGUUUGAUUAGCCAACCUGGCCUCGGACGGCGUUUGUGGGAAGGCCUUCCACUUAUCUGUGUGUGUUUUUUCUCCUUUGCUGUCUCCUAGAAUCAUCCAGAACCGCAUCCUGCUCGUCAUCCUAGGGAUCAUCGUGGUCAUCACCAUCCUGAUGGCGAUCACUUUUUCUGUCAGAAGACACUGAUGUAUCUGCUCUCCCUUGAUAAACAGCAACAACAGCUUGUUCUGAGUAAUUAAGACAAAAUGGUCACAUGAAUCAUUCUGUUGCGCUGACAGGCCCCAGGUGACCCUCUCUCUCCCUCACCGCCGUUGGGCUGAAGUGCAAAGAGUGUAAAAAUAUUUUCUAUUCCUGUUUGCAUGUGGGUUGGUUUCCUUUUCGAGGUUUGUCUUCACCCAGAUUCGUUUUUUAGAGGGGAAGGUGAAUGUUUAUUUACCUUUUUGCUAAUGUCAUCAACUAGCCAAAAUAGCCCCAGUGACACUCCUAGCCCUCUGGACGUGUCAAGGGCCGUGGUUUGGGAGAGGACAUGAUGAGUCAGUCACGAGAGCUUCUGUUUGUCACCCGCCUCUUGUUGCUGAAAAGCUCUUCUGUGAUGUCUGAGGAUAAAAAUGCAGCAAAAAGCAGGGGAUGGAGUCAGUGACCCCGUCCAGCAAGCCAGCCCUGUUCCUACACAGGCCUCAUGAAUAUAGUCAUCAACCUGCCUGAGUGCUUUCAUUGUAAAGGUCGGUAUUUAAUGUCGGUUGUACAGGAAAUUGACUUAGCACUUUCCCUGUUUUUCUAUUGCAUAAUUUUUUUUUUAACCCAAAGAUAUUUUUUUUGCUGAGCCUGCCCAGUAUUCACUGUUCACAACUUUGAUUACUGGCUACAAGAAAUAUUUUCUUGCCUUCCCCAAAUCCCAUACUCCCCAGAAUCUGCUGGCAAAGUGAGCCCUGGUACAGGAUUUAAUUGUGACCUCGUCUUCCCUGACCUGUGUAAGCAUCUCUGUAUCCUUUCGGUUUUAAUAUCUGCACUGCCAAAAGCAGUCCUCAUACUUGCAAAAGGUCUGACAAGGUUCUCUCCACAUACAUUCCAGUAUGUAAAGAGACCAUGAAUAUUUCAGUAAGAGCAAGAACAUGACUCCAUCAGUGUGAAAUUUCAAAUGUGAUUAUAAAUAUGGGAGAGUCCUAUAGGAGGGUCCACCAGAGAUAAACUUCACGGAAAACGUUCCCUAACCUCCUUUAAAAGAAUAGAGGAUGGCAGAUUGUUCCAAAAGGAAUGGCUUGGGUUUUUAACUAACAAAUGUUAGCAAGCCUUUCUUGAAUUCACUAUGUAUUCAAACUUCUAAUAUGCUUUGUGAUUUUUUUCUUUCAUUUCUUUCUGUCUGAGGUAACCAGGAAUUGCGUUCAAAAUGAGCUCAUUUGUGAUCAGGCUUAAAAGUUGCCCAAGCUGAGGUCGUUUCCCCCCAGUCACAAAGCAGAAUGUUUUUCUCAAGACUUCAUAGGCACUUACUGGUCCGUACUAUCUUUGGAAUAUAAUUAGAAGCUUUGAAUCCUUGAAAAGCAAACCUGUUCUCUUCAUCAAAAAUGCUAACCACCUGUGCCCGUGGAUCAAUAUCACCUGGAUGUAGUGCUUGAUAUUUUUCCCAACUCAGAAGAAAACCAUUAUGGUUUAGAGAGGAAAUGCAGAAUGGCAGAAUCCACCAGAGAAAUUGCACUUAUCGAAACAGGCCAAGGCCUGCAUGUGUUCGGAUAAAUCAUUUAGUAUUGUGUAAAUAAAGCUGCAGCCUUUACUUCGGAGGGAUGGUGUGGGAUUUUGGCCGAGGGAAGCAGGACAGAGAAGGAGCAGGAAGCUAUGCUAAUUUUCCUGUCAGCUUAAGGGAUCCGUCUCAGCAAGAAUCUUGUAUUCUGAUAACGGAAUGCUGUACGUGCUGACCACAUCUAAGAACCAUUAAAAAGCAAGGAAACAAACAAACAACCCUUUUCUCAUUCCGACACACGAAUAGUCAUCGAGUAUUACACCAGCCCCUCUGGUGGCUUCCUUCAAAACUGUUGAUCUUAGCUAAAGUGUAUAACCAGUUACCAGCUGCACUUCGCACGGCCAUCCCGUCCACAAUGCAGCAGACUCUUCCCAAGGCCACCUAGCAAGCAAGGUUGAUCGGAUCAUCUAAACUGGCCGCCUCCUGAAUAUUUCACUGAAUCCUGGCGUUCAUGUUGAAGCAGACAAAAUGAGAAAGGAGGAGGGCAUUGCUCACCUCUCAAUAGCUUUUUUCGUUCAAGUUCUAUGUCUUUAUCAGCUCUUGCCUGUGAUUUUACCCCAAUUCAACCUUGGGAGUGGGAAGAAUAUGAACAGAUAACCCUUGGCCUAACAGCUCCAUCAAACCUCCUUGAGAGCAACUACCUAGGCCAGGCUAGUGAGUGCUUUGUGAGGAAGCUGGUCAGAAGGUUCCCUCAACUCCUUCCUGGUCCUCCUGGACACUGCAGAAAAGACUUAGGGGAUCCCCAGCAGAGGCCAAUUGCUCUCCUUCCUUCCCUGCCCCA